AAAGUCCUAAGAAUUUGAUGAGAGCAAACACUGCUGAUCUGAACAUCGGUAUUAAAAGCAGGAUAAUAUACAGCACAAUAUUACAUCCCUUUGCCCAGUUAUGGAAAAAGAACAUUCCUUAGAGAUGGUAAGAGGGCACUGGCAACACUGGAAGACGUGAAGGUUUGUAUAUUCAGAGUUCAGAAAUGCAUCACAGCUUUUGUUGAAAAUAUGACAUAAUCACAAAUUGCUCAUCAAGAUAUUGAGGGAAAAAUGAACCCAAGCCAAAGGCUCUCUCUGAAAACACCUUGUUCUUCAGUGUAUAAAAUUCAGUAUGUCUGUUGUUGAAUUUACUGCCUCUGAAUGAAGCCUACAUGUCAUUCUGGAGAAGAAAGGCUUGAUCUACAGUCUUUCCAUCAAGCUUAUUGCAUUUUGUUUGGAUCAGACACUAGGCCUUUUGUUUAGUUUUAGCCAAAGGCAGAGUACCACUAAGCAGUCUAAUCAGUAUACAACAGAUUUGUCCACCAAAGAUCACCUCUAGGGAUUCAGUGUUGUUUUCUGGCGUUUGCUGAGAGUGACAAUUUUUAUGUGUUUUUCAGGGACAAUGCACAAAUCCAUACAGGAUAUAAUAUCCCCUGGAAGCUCCCAGUUCUCGGAUAAGUGAUAAGUUUCAGAUGUUUGCAUCCAAAGGAAAAGUCCACAAUUCUCCAUUCUCAGGGGAAAAAAAUGUGUUUUCAAAACAAGAUAAUUUAUUAAUUACAUAGUAUGUGAUGGUGUUAAAUAGGAACAAGAAAAUAAAGUUUUUCCCUG
rnacentral:lncRNA from 7 species